CCGGCGGUAGCUCAGCUGGUAGAGCGGGGGGCUGUAGAUGGUGCAGUGAUCCUCAGGUUGGUGGUUCGAGUCCGCCCCGCCGGA
rnacentral:tRNA from 1 species